rnacentral:rRNA from 1 species
GAAUUCGCCCUUAGAGUUUGAUCCUGGCUCAGGAUGAACGCUGGCGGCGUGCUUAACACAUUCAAGUCGAACGGUGAAGGGGCUUCGGCCCCUGAUCAGUGGCGGACGGGUGAGUAAUGCAUGAGCAACCUGCCUUGAAGUGGGGAAUAACACAGAGAAAUUUGUGCUAAUACCGCAUAAUGUACCGGGGAGGCAUCUUCCUGGUAAGAAAGGAUUUAUUCGCUUUAAGAUGGGCUCAUGUCUGAUUAGGUAGUUGGUGGGGUAACGGCCUACCAAGCCUGCGAUCAGUAGCCGGACUGAGAGGUUGAACGGCCACAUUGGGACUGAGAUACGGCCCAGACUCCUACGGGAGGCAGCAGUGGGGAAUAUUGGACAAUGGGCGAAAGCCUGAUCCAGCGACGCCGCGUGAAGGAAGAAGGUCUUCGGAUUGUAAACUUUAGUGAGCAGGGACGAUAGUGACGGUACCUGCAUAGCAAGCCACGGCUAACUACGUGCCAGCAGCCGCGGUAAUACGUAGGUGGCAAGCGUUAUCCGGAAUUACUGGGUGUAAAGGGUGAGUAGGCGGGAAGGCAAGUCAGAUGUGAAAUGCAGGAGCUCAACUCCUGAGCUGCAUUUGAAACUGUUUUUCUUGAGAGUCGGAGGGGUAAUCGGAAUUCCCAGUGUAGCGGUGAAAUGCGCAGAGAUUGGGAGGAACACCAGUGGCGAAGGCGGAUUACUGGACGACAACUGACGCUGAUACACGAAAGCGUGGGGAGCAAACAGGAUUAGAUACCCUGGUAGUCCACGCUGUAAACGAUGAAUACUAGGGUGUAGGGCCGGAAGGUUCUGUGCCGCAGUUAACACAAUAAGUAUUCCACCUGGGGAGUACGGCCGCAAGGUUGAAACUCAAAGGAAUUGACGGGAGCCCGCACAAGCAGUGGAGUAUGCGGUUUAAUUCGACGCAACGCGAAGAACCUUACCAGAGCUUGACAUCCCGGUGACCGGCGGAGUAAUGUCUGCCUUCCCUUCGGGGCACCGGAGACAGGUGGUGCAUGGUUGUCGUCAGCUCGUGUCGUGAGAUGUUGGGUUAAGUCCCGCAACGAGCGCAACCCUUAUUACCAGUUACCAGCGGGUAAAGCCGGGGACUCUGGUGAGACUGCCGGGGACAACUCGGAGGAAGGUGGGGACGACGUCAAAUCAUCAUGCCCCUUACGUCUUGGGCUACACACGUGCUACAAUGGCUGCAACAAAGGGAAGCGACAGCGCAAGCUGAAGCGGAUCUCAGAAAAACAGUCCCCGUUCGGCUUGUGGGC